ACCGAAACCCAAGCCAACUCCUGGCCAGUUCAGCCCACGCACGUUGCUUGUCAACGCCAGCCCUUUGCAGGUCCUUUGGGGAAAUUUGUCAGAGCAUCAGUAGCGUUAAGGUGCCAAUUAAGGGCUUUUUAGUAUCAAUUACAAAAUCGCACGUUUCCACACCUUUAUCAAGCUUGAAGAUAAUUGGCUCGAUUUCCGAUGACGAUAAAAUGGGAAGAACAGGAAUAACAAUGACGGAUCUCUUCUGGAACCAUCUAAGGAAACACAAAAAAUAUAAAUCAGAAAAAUUCGUGAUGCAUGUGCACAUCUUUAUUAAACUUUUUAUUAAGCCUUUCAACUUCAUUCAACUCUUGCUUGUAUUUAAUAAAUUGUCGAGUUUAAUAAAUGUCGCGGCAGCGCGUGUAGCUCUGCCUCUGACAUAGGUAA